rnacentral:rRNA from 1 species
AACGUAGGUGGCAAGCGUUGUUCGGAAUUACUGGGCGUAAAGGGCGCGUAGGCGGCCUUCUAAGUCAGACGUGAAAUCCCCCGGCUUAACCUGGGAACUGCGUCUGAUACUGGGAGGCUUGAGUACGGGAGAGGGAUGUAGAAUUCCAGGUGUAGCGGUGAAAUGCGUAGAUAUCGAGAGGAACACCGGUGGCGAAGGCGGCCUUCUGGACAGUGACUGACGCUGAGACGCGAAAGCGUGGGGAGCAAACAGG